CGUGAUCUGAUUUGUCCGAAGGGAGGGAGUCGGAGGGCCUUUGUAGGCAUCUCGAAAAGGGUGUCGGAGUCUCCUGAAGACAGCUCACACAUUUUCCAUCAUUGUCACCCAUUGAAGUGACGAUGAACAUGAUGCUAAGUCUGUAAGAGAAGAGGGCUGCAUAGUGAGUGGGCAGGUGUUCAUUUCUAACCAUCCAUCAGUUGAUUGGACUGUCUUCUCCAUAACCUAAUAACAUAAAGACAUUUGGAAGGGAAGAAACAAAUGUUCGAUCAAGCUAUUUGCCACACUUGUGAGCUUGCUGAUGAAAUGUUGCCUGCUGCACGUGAGGGGGGAUUUAAAUAGGGUUCAACAACAGCCACCCAAUGUGGAUUUCUCCAGAUCAGGGACUGUUUUUUUUAUCUCCCACUGUAGCCUCUGUUCUUCUGUUUCCCUCCUUUUCUCCUGCCAUGAUACUUUGUGC